rnacentral:misc_RNA from 1 species
CAAUAAAAAUAAUAAUACUAACAUCAAAAUAAUAAUAACAUUAAAAAUGAUAUACAUAUAUAUACAUAUUAAAAAAAUAUUUAUAAAGUCGGUUCUUCAAUUCGAUCAAUACGGUUCCUGUUCGGCUCUCAAAGAAUAACCAAAACCAAAGCAAAAUAGUAAAAAUUAGUUUGGUUUGGUACAAUUAGAUUUUAAUAGUAACGGUUCUUUUUUGGUUCCAGUACAAUUCUUGGGUUGAGUUCGGAACCCUUAGGAACUCUACACAACUCUACUUUCAAAGAUUAGCUAGCUAGUAUAAAUAGCAAAUACUAAAUCAUAAUUAGUAUGACUAAAUAAAAUAACUCACUUCUCUUAACACUCUAUUUUCUCUCCUCUUUUGUUUUCUCCCCCUCUUUAAUUCUGUUACCUCAAAUUUUUCUCCCCCUUCCAUUUCUUAGCUUCCAAAUACUGGCAAAACGGCAGCAAUUUUAGGCCCCAACACUGCAAAGAAACUAGAAUCUUUCUAGGCCUGUAAAUAAGUUGAAUUGCUUAGCAACAAGAGCUUGAGUUGUUAAAAGCUUAGUCAAUAUCUUUCACUACCAUUAAUAAGCCAAACUCAAGCUUACUAGAGUUAGGUAAAGUUUAACUCAUUUAGACUCGUGAGUGGAUUCGUUUGUAAGUUCAUGAGCCAAGUUAUAUAUAACUUAAUUAAUAAUUUAAUUUUAAAUUUUAUAUCAAUGUAUUUUUUUAAAUAUAUAUAGGAAUACUCAUUUAAAAUCGUUUAUAAUAUAGAUAUAAAGUAACAUCUUU